rnacentral:rRNA from 1 species
GACGAACGCUGGCGGCGUGCCUAAUACAUGCAAGUAGAACGCUGAAGGAGGAGCUUGCUCUUCUGGAUGAGUUGCGAACGGGUGAGUAACGCGUAGGUAACCUGCCUGGUAGCGGGGGAUAACUAUUGGAAACGAUAGCUAAUACCGCAUAACAGUAGAUGUUGCAUGACAUUUACUUAAAAGGUGCAAUUGCAUCACUACCAGAUGGACCUGCGUUGUAUUAGCUAGUUGGUGGGGUAACGGCUCACCAAGGCGACGAUACAUAGCCGACCUGAGAAGGUGAUCGGCCACACUGGGACUGAGACACGGCACAGACUCCUACGGGAGGCAGCAGUAGGGAAUCUUCGGCAAUAGACGGAAGUCUGACCGAGCAACGCCGCGUGAGUGAAGAAGGGUUUCGGAUCGUAAAGCUCUGUUGUAAGAGAAGAACGAGUGUGAGAGUGGAAAGUUCACACUGUGACGGUAUCUUAACAGAAAGGGACGGCUAACUACGUG